AAGGAAUAUUGGUCAAUGGACGCAAGUCUGAACCAGCCAUGCCGCGUGAAGGAUGAAGGUCCUCUGGAUUGUAAACUUCUUUUAUCUGGGACGAAAACGGGAUUUUUAUCUCAAUUGACGGUACCAGAGGAAUAAGCACCGGCUAACUCCGUACCAGCAGCCGCGGUAAUACGGAGGGUGCGAGCGUUAUCCGGAUUUACUGGGUUUAAAGGGUGCGUAGGUGGGCUUAUAAGUCAGUGGUGAAAUCUCCGAGCUUAACUUGGAAACUUCCGUUGAUACUAUAGGUCGUGAAUAUUGCGGAGGUAAGCGGAAUAUGUCAUGUAGCGGUGAAAUGCUUAGAUAUGACAUAGAACACCAAUUGCGAAGGCAGCUUACUACACAAUCAUUGACACUGAGGCACGAAAGCGUGGGUAGCGAACA
rnacentral:rRNA from 1 species